rnacentral:lncRNA from 1 species
GUAGAAAUUUACGUUUCAUCAGAUGUAGCCUAGUUGUUAGUGAUUUAAGACGUGUUCGACGAGGAGUUAAUAAAUGUACAGUGCGUUCUGUUUUAAACAUUCUUUUGGCUACUCGGUAAUACACUGAAAUUUGCCAUUUUUUCGUACCAAUCUGAGGGACACUUUUUCACGACACACAGGAUUGUUUGAAAGUUGAUUUUUCACUAGACGUCAUUUGAAGGUUCAGUUCCUAUCCUCAUCCCCCAGUCCUACAGUGUGCAAAAAUAGAAAGUUGAAAAAAUCUGUGCUAUCCUGCACAAUGCCAGAUUCAUUUAGGACUACUCCAUAUUAAAAUGCUCAGAGGAAUUUUGCUUAAGGAAAUUUGCAGCUGUGGACUUUAUUUAGAUGACUCUUGUAUUGGAAAUAUUUUCCUUCUUCUUGGAACAAAAAACAUAGGAUGUCUUGAUGCCAACGAAGUGUCAUUGGAAAGAUUCAGGAAAACCUAAAGCUGGAGGAUGAUACAUUUGUUUCCUUUUACUAGUGUUUUAUAACAAAUGUGGAGAUUUAUUCCACAAUCUUCAGCUUUCCAUGCAGACACCCAUCCACAGAGCCAUGGGUGAUAGAUGAUAUUCACAUCGGGCACGACUGUGUUGUAAAUUGGUAUCACUUUUACAACCAAACAGACAGCAGGUUUAGAUCACGUGUCUGACUAUAGGGGGUAUUCGUUUCCUUGACAUAAAAAGAACGGAAAUUUUUGGCAUAAGCAAGUCAUCCGCAUCCAAACAGAUCAAACGCACGAGGUAUUCCGCCUCGUCCAGCAACUUAACAUCCAGCAACGCAUCCAUCAACAGAAUGUAUUAAAGAGGAAAGUAAUGACCAAAUGCUGACUGGACGAUUUCCAUGCAAGAUGAAUGUUAAAAUCCAAGGAUAUCUGGAGAACCAUUAGCUGAAUACAAUGAAUACUAUCAGUUCUCCAGAACAAGAAGUUAAUAAUCAUACUGAAUCAAAAGAGGUACAUACUUGAACGAGAUUUUAAAACGAUAACAGCUGGAAGGACAUGUGGAAAUUUCAAAGGACGCUACAUGCACGUUACCUUUAGUCGCUGAUUCAUCUCGAAGAUAAAAUAUUAAAAUUCUUAUAAAUUGAAGUGCAUAUCUGGGCUCCCUUCUUUUCUGUGGCCCCGUUUCCCCUUGACUUGUGAUAAGCCCGUAGGGGGUCAUGCCCCUACUGUGAUCAGCAGCAAA